rnacentral:misc_RNA from 1 species
UUUCCGUAGGUGAACCUGCGGAAGGAUCAUUAAAGAGUAAGGGUCUUCGGGCCCGAUCUCCAACCCUUUGUUUAACUACCAUGUUGCUUUGGCGGGCCCGCCUCACGACCGCCGGAAGUUUGGCUUCGACCAAACUUCUGGCCCGUGCCAGCCAGUGGCCCCUUCAAAUUCUUGAUCAAGUAUGAUGUCUUAGUUAAAAACUUAAUAGUUAAAACUUUCAACAACGGAUCUCUUGGUUCUG